CGCUAGUGCGGACGGGUUGGGACCGGUGGCGUGCUAGAGAAAUCCGUACCACGGGGAUGGGUCCUGAGAUAACGGACGCGCUGGCGAAGCUAGAGGCGCGGGACCUGAAAAUAGUCUGGCGGAG
rfam:Burkholderia phymatum STM815 plasmid pBPHY01, complete sequence.